GUCUUACUCCCUCCAUCCAGAAAUUCUUGUCCUACAAAUGGUUUUAUCUAGACUUGUUUUAGUUAUAGAUACAUCUAUUUUAUCCAUUUCUAGGAUAAGUAUUUCCGUAUGGAGGGAGUAACAU
rfam:Triticum urartu cultivar G1812 contig270797, whole genome shotgun sequence.